CCUUCCUAUCUUUACCUUUUUUCUCUCCUUGUCUUCCUUAAAUCUUUUCCUAGGCUCUUGUCCUAAAAUCGGACUUAUCCUUACAAUUUUUGGACUUAUCCUAACAAGAGAAGGAAGAGACUAAUUGGAUAAAAGGGUGAGUGUGUAAGAAAGAAGAGAUAAGAAUGAGAGAUCUGAAUGAAACAAAUCCCUGGUGCAACCCCUUUAAAUAGUUAGCGAUGGGAUGCCUAUGGAUUUUUCCCGUGCCCUCUCCACGCACCAUCUC
rnacentral:lncRNA from 1 species